rnacentral:rRNA from 1 species
GUCAUUAGAGGAAGUAAAAGUCGUAACAAGGUUUCCGUAGGUGAACCUGCGGAAGGAUCAUUACCGAGAGAGGGGCUUCGCGCCCCGGGGGGCUUUGGUCCUCGACUUUUCACCCCAUGUCCAUCUACCAUUGUUGCUUUGGCAGGCCACGGGGUAUGCCCCCCUCACCCCCGAGCCUGAUGGCCCGGGUCGGUGUGCGCCCGUCGGAGACCCACUAAAUCCUGUUUCAUCAGCGAUGUCCGAGUGAAAAUACACAAACAGUUAAAAACUUUCAACAACGGAUCUCUUGGUUCUGGCAUCGAUGAAGAACGCAGCGAAAUGCGAUAAGUAAUGUGAAUUGCAGAAUUCAGUGAACCAUCGAAUCUUUGAACGCACAUUGCGCCCCUCGGUAUUCCGGGGGGCAUGCCUGUUCGAGCGUCAUUACACCCCUCAAGCGUAGCUUGGUAUUAGGCCUCGUCCUCAUGGACGUACCUGAAAAGCAGUGGCGGUCCGGUGUGGAUUCAAGCGCAGUAAAAUCUUUAUCCGCUUCGAUGAGGCCCCGCGGCCCGCCAACAACCGCCCAAAUCUUCGAACAUUGACCUCGGAUCAGGCAGGGAUACCCGCUGAACUUAAGCAUAUCAAUAAGCGGAGGAA